GACGAACGCUGGCGGCGUGCUUAACACAUGCAAGUCGAACGGAAAGGCCCUGCUUUUGUGGGGUGCUCGAGUGGCGAACGGGUGAGUAACACGUGAGUAACCUGCCCUUGACUUUGGGAUAACUUCAGGAAACUGGGGCUAAUACCGGAUAGGAGCUCCUGCUGCAUGGUGGGGGUUGGAAAGUUUCGGCGGUUGGGGAUGGACUCGCGGCUUAUCAGCUUGUUGGUGGGGUAGUGGCUUACCAAGGCUUUGACGGGUAGCCGGCCUGAGAGGGUGACCGGCCACAUUGGGACUGAGAUACGGCCCAGACUCCUACGGGAGGCAGCAGUGGGGAAUAUUGCACAAUGGGCGGAAGCCUGGUGCAGCAACGCCGCGUGCGGGAUGACGGCCUUCGGGUUGUAAACCGCUUUCGCCUGUGACGAAGCGUGAGUGACGGUAAUGGGUAAAGAAGCACCGGCUAACUACGUGCCAGCAGCCGCGGUGAUACGUAGGGUGCGAGCGUUGUCCGGAUUUAUUGGGCGUAAAGGGCUCGUAGGUGGUUGAUCGCGUCGGAAGUGUAAUCUUGGGGCUUAACCCUGAGCGUGCUUUCGAUACGGGUUGACUUGAGGAAGGUAGGGGAGAAUGGAAUUCCUGGUGGAGCGGUGGAAUGCGCAGAUAUCAGGAGGAACACCAGUGGCGAAGGCGGUUCUCUGGGCCUUUCCUGACGCUGAGGAGCGAAAGCGUGGGGAGCGAACAGGCUUAGAUACCCUGGUAGUCCACGCUGUAAACGGUGGGUACUAGGUGUGGGGUCCAUUCCACGGGUUCCGUGCCGUAGCUAACGCUUUAAGUACCCCGCCUGGGGAGUACGGCCGCAAGACUAAAACUCAAAGGAAUUGACGGGGCCCCGCACAAGCGGCGGAGCAUGCGGAUUAAUUCGAUGCAACGCGUAGAACCUUACCUGGGUUUGACAUGGAUCGGGAGUGCUCAGAGAUGGGUGUGCCUCUUUUGGGGUCGGUUCACAGGUGGUGCAUGGCUGUCGUCAGCUCGUGUCGUGAGAUGUUGGGUUAAGUCCCGCAACGAGCGCAACCCUUGUUCACUGUUGCCAGCACGUUAUGGUGGGGACUCAGUGGAGACCGCCGGGGUCAACUCGGAGGAAGGUGGGGAUGACGUCAAGUCAUCAUGCCCCUUAUGUCCAGGGCUUCACGCAUGCUACAAUGGCUGGUACAGAGAGUGGCGAGCCUGUGAGGGUGAGCGAAUCUCGGAAAGCCGGUCUCAGUUCGGAUUGGGGUCUGCAACUCGACCUCAUGAAGUCGGAGUCGCUAGUAAUCGCAGAUCAGCAACGCUGCGGUGAAUACGUUCCCGGG
rnacentral:rRNA from 1 species